CAGUGUAUCCCCAUACUAUGGACACCCGAAGCAGCUUCCGUGCAAACAUGCAAUACCACAAGCCGCCUCCAGCCACACAACAUUACUAAAAAUGUCCCCACAGACAUGCAACACCACAAAUGGUACACCUACCAACUUGCAAUACCACAAGCUGUCUCAUCACACAUGCUGACACACAACACCCAGACAUCUUACCCCUUCCCCUACACACGCAACACCACAAGUAGUCACCACCACACAUGCAACCCCACAAACAAGCCUCCAAAUGCAUGCAAUACCGCAGGCAGCCUCCACACACACUAAGCAACCUCUCCCAGCCCUGUUUUUCUUUUGUCCUAAGGUGUAUCAGCAGCAAACACAGAUCAAACAUUCAUUAAAAUUUGUUUGCACUGUGAUAAACAAACACAGUAUUUUUCCGUUCUUCUGUAGGUCUUUUCUGAAUUGAUAUUCCCACUUUGCAGGUGCAUGCG